rnacentral:lncRNA from 1 species
GAAAGGGGGUGGAGCUGGGGAUGGAUGGAACCAGGGAUGGAGCCCAGGGUGGGGACUGGGAUGGAUGGAGCCGGAGAUCAGGAUGGAACUGGGAACGGAGCUGGGACCAUCCAUAACCUGUGGAGCCUCCCGUGGUUUCAGGAAUCUGAACAAAACCCACCCAGGCCAUUCAAACCAACUCAGUGGCGCUUGUUGGGAGGGGGUAAAUUACUCUUAAUUAACAUUCAAUUAAUGCAUUUGAUGACUUUCUGUGUUCCCAUGCGGUGCCCUGGAUCCAUCUGCACCAGAAAUUGUGGAGGUGGAAAUCUGGGAACCUUUCUGUGUUUUCCAGAGGGGAUGGAUCCCCCUUUUCGCCUUUCACCAUCCUGGGAUGGCACAACUCGAGGAGCUUCAAGGUCCCAGACCAGCUGGGAUUUCGUGAUUCCAUAAUCCUGGGAUUUUCCUGCACAUCCCUGGAGAGGUCUGGAGAGGCUCCAGGGGUGGAGCGAGGCUGUGAGAGGUGGGAGAGCUUGAGGAGCUCCUGGGACCCUGCUGCUGCUGCCGCCUGUGGAAUUCCUGGUGGAAUUCGUGUGCUUCCCGCUGGCUCCUCUUCCCAAAAAUCCUCUUCCCAGCACGUGACCUGACCUUCACAACCCCCCAUCACAGCACUGGGAACAUUCUGAUAGAAUUUACAGAAUUCCCGAGGACCCCGCGGGACGCUGGAAUCGCAUCCCGGCCCCUCCCGGCUCAACCUCUCUCCCCCAGCAGCUCGCCAGCCCCGUUUCUAGUAUUUCUUUUUUCCCCUCUUUUCCAUAUGGUGCCAAGCCCACCUUGGGCCAGAUUCCCGCCUGGCAGACAGCUGGGAACAGAGGGAAAACAGCAGCCGCCGCUCCUGGGACUUGCAAAGGGCCGCAGCAGGAUGGGAGAGGGAUGCAGCGCCGGGAGCCGUCUCCCUGGAAACCGCAGCGUGGGAGACAUAAUGAGCAGUGUCCCUCCCUCCUUCCCUCCGGCUGCUCUUUAAUUCCUUCCUCAGCUUCCUUUGGAGGAGGCCGGGGAGCCGCCGGCCCCAAAGCCCGGCCUUUUGUGGGUUUAUGACACUCGGCCUUAGAAAAGCUCGGGUUUAACUCAGCUGCCGCUGUAACUUCCGGGGGAGGGAGAGGGGAGGAGGUCAUGGAAAGGGUGCUGGGGAUCCUCGGGAAAAGCAAAGCGGGGAAAACCUCCUUGGAUCCCUUUUCCUCGCCGUUUGGUUGUUCCCAAAACAAAAGCGCUGUUUAAAUGAUGUGUUUGGGAUGGGGCCAUCCAAAGGCGCCCCGGGAUAGCGCCCACGGGCAUUCCCUUGGUGCUGCUGGGAAAAGCUGGAUGUUCCCACCCUCCAAAGGCACAUCCCAACAUUCGGGGAGAGGAGGGACAGCGGCCCCAGGGUCCCCGUGGAGGUGACACCGCGGAGGGC